rnacentral:rRNA from 1 species
UACAGAGGUCUCAAGCGUUGUUCGGAUUCAUUGGGCGUAAAGUGUGCGCAGGCGGCCGCGCAAGUCGAGUGUGAAAGCCCCGGGCUUAACUUGGGAAUUGCGCUCGAAACUACGUGGCUGGAGUGUGGCAGAGGAAGGUGGAAUUCCAGGUGUAGCGGUGAAAUGCGUAGAGAUCUGGAGGAACACCGAUGGCGAAGGCAGCCUUCUGGGCCAACACUGACGCUCAUGCACGAAAGCGUGGGGAGCAAACAGG